rnacentral:lncRNA from 10 species
GCUGAGGUGGGCAGAUUGCUUGAACCCAGAAGUUCGAGACCAGCCUGGGCAGCAGGGUGAAACUCUGUCUUUACAAAAAAAAAAAAAAAAAUAGCCAGGUGUUGGGGUGUGUGCCUGUAGUCCCAGCUACUUGGUAGGCUGAGGUAGGAGGAUUGAGGUGGAGGCUUCAAUGAGCUGUGAUUGCACCACUGCACCCCAGCCUUGGUGACAGAGCAAAGGAAAAAUAAAACUUAAAUUUUUUUCCAACAUACAUACCGAAGUAUUUAGAGAUGAAGUAUUUAUUUUGUCUGCAACUUACUUUCCAAAGUUGGCAACAAAAAAAAGUGUGUGCAUAAAAAAAAUAGAUACAUGGAGAAAGAGAGAGCAUGUAAACGAACAUGGCAAGAUGUUAACAAUUGGUGAAUCUCUAGGUUAUGUGGGUGCUCACUGCACUAUUCUUUUAAAUUUAUUUUUAUUUUUGUUGUUUUUCAGAGACAGGGUCUUGCUCUAUCACCCAGGCUAGAGUGUAGUGGCACCAAGAUAGCUCCCUGCAGCCUCAAACUCCUGGGCUCAAGUGACGCUCCCUUCUCAGCCUCCCAAGUAGCUGGGACUACACAGGUGUGCUCCACCACACCUGGUUAAUUAAAAAAAUUUUUUGUAGACACAGGGUCUCACUUUGUUGUCCAAGCUGGUCUUGAACUUCUGGAUUUUGGCGAUCCUCCUGCCUUGACUUCACAAAGUGCUCGGAUUACAGGUGUGAGCCACUGCACUUGCCAUUGCAUUACUUUUUAACUUUAUUAAAAUAAAGAGUUGGGGCCGGGGCCAGGUGCGGUGGCUCACUCCUGUAAUCCCAGCACUUUGGGAGGCCUUGGCGGGCGGAUCACUUGAGGUCAGGAGUUCAUAACCAGCCUGGCCAACAUGGUGAAACCCCAUCCCUACUAAAAAUACAAAAAUUAGCAGGGCUUGGUGGCACACGCCUGUAAUCCCAGUACUCAGGAGGCCGAGUACUGUAAUCCCAGUACUCAGGAGGCCGAGUACUGUAAUCCCAGUACUCAGGAGGCUGAUUCGCUUGAAUCCAGGAGGCGAAGGUUGCAGUGAGCCGAGAUCGCGUCACUGCACUCCCACCUGGAGGACAGAGUGAGACUCUGCUUAAAAAAAAAAAAUUAGCCAGGCGUGGUGGUGUAAGCCUGUGGCCCCAGCCACCUGGGAGGCUGAGAUGAGAGGAGUGCUUAUGCCCUGGAGGUCAACGCUGCAGUGAGCUGUGAUUGCACCACUGCACUCCACCUGACAGAGUGACACCCCCCCAUCUCUAAAAAAUAAAAAAAAAAAAGUGGGAAGAACAAUCACACCACGGUUUAACUGAUCAGCUACGAUGGGAACUGUGAAAGGCAUUCCACAGAGUGAAUCAAGGCUUCAGGAGGAGGCCCUGACUUAUCCUGGAGGCAGAGGGUUCUCCCAGGAAUGGCGUCUUAGCUGAAGCCUGACCCAGAAGGUAGACGGGCAGGAACGAGGUAAUGUGGAGACUGUUGGGAGCAGGCAAGGACUUCAUCCCAAGGCAAUGGGAGGCCCUCUGUACUCCCUCUUGUGAUAACUGCUUCCCUUCUUUCGGGCAGUGCUCCUGACCCCACUCUAGCUGUGUGGGUGGGUCCCUACCUGGUUGAGUCAACCAGAUCCCAUCCCUGGGAUUUUAAACUUGGAACCAGAAGGAGAGUGAUCAUCACCUCUUUUCUAGGGUGAAUCAAUGAGAAGUGAGGCUCCGAAGCUUGGAUCUCAAGUUCACAGAAGCAGCUGGUUGAGGGUGAAGCUUGCACACAGAGGCCAAGGAAGGAUGCCUACCCAUGUCCAGCUGCCCCAGGGCCCUUUCAGGACUGCUAUUUUGAGCCCCUUCCUUCCUUAACUGGUUUGAAUUGGUCACCGUCACUUGCAACCUAUUGAGUCCUAGCUAAUGUACCAUGACAGGGUUCAAGACUUGGUCAGAGAAGAGCUGGGGUAUAGGAUGCUGGGGAAGGGUACCCAUUAAUCCUCCCUUCUAAGUGGUAACUGAGAGAAUGAACAAGAACAAUAUACAGUUAAAUGAAAAUAAAAAGGCACAGUGGCUCAAGCCUAUAAUCCCAGCACUUUGGGAGGCCGAGGCAGGCAGAUCACAAGGUCAGGAGUUCGAGACCAGCCUAACCAACAUGGUGAAACCCCAUCUCUACUAAAAUUACAAGAAUUAGCCAGGCGUGAUGGCGCGCCACCUGUAAUCCCAGCUGCUCAGGAGGCUGAGCAGGAGAAUCACUUGAACCCGGGAGGCGGAAGUUGCAGUGAGCUGAGAUCAUGCCACUGCACUCCAGCCUGGGCGACAGAGCAAGACUCCGUCUUAAAAAAAAAAAAAAAGAAAAUAAACACAGACGCUUUAAGGAUCAGUUAACAACAAGACACAGACUCUAAUAUUCACUGACAUAAAGUUUCAGAAAGGGCAAAAUUAAUCUCUGGUGACAGGGGCCAGAACAGUGAUGACCUGGGGUGGGGUGUGGGUUGGUCUCUCCUGUGAGGUUUGGAAGGGCAGGUACACACGCGUGUGCACUUACCAAAACCUACUGCACUGUGCAUCCGACUGCACUGAUGUCCCUGGCUUCUUUGAGGAAACCCACAGUGGGUAGAGUUACAGGGGUCAGAAGUGGGGGCCACUGCCUGCUGGGGAAGGCCACUGGAGGAAGCUGGGGCAGAAUGGGAGGGAAGCUGGCCCCUCACAUGAAUACGGGGAAUUAGGAAGUGUUUUCUCCUCCACAAUGUUUGGGAGAAUUUGGGGAUUUAUGUCCAUUCUUUAGCAUUUGGUAGAAUUCACCAUCUGGUCCUGGGCUUUUCUUUUGUUGGGAAGCUUUUGAUGACUGGUUCUACCUAUGUGUUUUAGGUUGGUUCAGAUUUUUUCCUUUUUCUUCUUUUUUUGAGGCAGGGUCUCUGUUGCCCAGGCUGGUCUCGAACUCCUGGCCUCAGGCCAUCCUCCUAACUAGUUCUCCCCAAGUGCUGGGAUCACAGGUGUGAGCCACUGCACCUGGCCCUGUUCAGAUUUUCUAUUUUUCCUGGGACAAUUUUGGUCAUUUGUAUCUUUCUAGGAAUUUUUUUGUUGUUGUUUUGAGACAGAGUCUCACUCUGUCACCCAAGCUGGAGUGCAAUGGCAUGAUCUCAGCUCACUGCAACCUCUGCCUCCUGGGUUCAAGUGAUUUUCCUGCCUCAGCCUCGUGAAUAGCUGGGAUUACAGGUGUGAGCCACCACGCCUGGCUAAUUUUUGUGUUUUUAGUAGAGACAGGGUUUCACCACUUUGGCCAGGUUGGUCUCGAACUUCUGACCUCAGGUGAUCUGCCUGCCUCGGCCUCCCAAAGUGCCGCGAUUACAGGCGUGAGCCACCACACCCAGCCAAGAUGUCGCAUCUUUUUAAAUGUUGGCAUUUGCAGCUAUAAAUUUCCCUCAGAGCAGUUUUUGCCGCAUUCCUUAAGUUCUGGUAUGUUGUUUUCAUCCAUCUCUAUUUCCUAAUUUUUCUCGUGAUUUCUCCUUUGACCCUUUGGCUGUUAAAAAGUGUGUUCAAUUUCUAUGUAUGUGUGAAUUUUCAUUUUCCUUCUGGUAUGGAUUUCUGGUUUUAUUCCAUUGUGAUUGGAGAAGGUGGUUUGCAGGAUUCCGAUCUCUAAUUUACUGAGACUUGCUUUGUGCACUAACGUGUGGUCUGUCCUGGAGAACGUUCCCUGUGCACUUAGAAACGUGUGUUCUGCUGCUAUUGGGUGGAGCACUGUUAAGUCUGGUCAGCCUUUUGGUUUUUAUGUAAUACUUGGCACAUUCACAAGAAAAUGUGUGAAACAGAAAGUACGACAAAGUGAAACCCACGAAGCCACCACUGACCCUGAGGUUCAAAACCUCCAGCAUCUCUGCUCUUCCCUAAGCACAGCUCCGUCCCCUCCCCACGGGUGAGCACUGUGUUGUACUGACUCCCUGCCCUCCCUGAUGACUUUAGCACCUGGGUAUGAAUUCCACACAUAUUUGGUUUUGAGCUUUAUAAAAAUGGCAUCAUACUGUAUGAACUGUCUUGCUUUUUCAUCCCACGUUGUUUCUGAGAGGUGUUUGUGAUGGAGCACAGGGCCAC